CGUAGGCAGCAAGCGUUGUUCGGAGUUACUGGGCGUAAAGGGUGUGUUAGGCGGUUAUUUAAGUUUGGUGUGAAAUCUCCCGGCUCAACCGGGAGGGUGCGCCGAAUACUGAAUGACUUGGAGUGCGGGAGAGGAAAGUGGAAUUCCUGGUGUAGCGGUGAAAUGCGUAGAUAUCAGGAGGAACACCGGUGGUGUAGACGGCUUUCUGGACCGUAACUGACGCUGAGACACGAAAGCGUGGGUAGCAAACAGGAUUAGAUACCCUGGUAGUCCACGCCCUAAACGAUGCAUAUUUGGUGUGGGCAGUUCAUUCUGUCCGUGCCGGAGCUAACGCGUUAAAUAUGCCGCCUGGGGAGUACAGCCGCAAGGCUG
rnacentral:rRNA from 1 species